UACGUAGGGUGCAAGCGUUGUCCGGAAUUAUUGGGCGUAAAGAGCUCGUAGGCGGUCUGUCGCGUCGGCUGUGAAAACCCGGGGCUCAACCCCGGGCCUGCAGUCGAUACGGGCAGACUAGAGUGCGGUAGGGGAGACUGGAAUUCCGGGUGUAGCGGUGGAAUGCGUAGAGAUCCGGAAGAACACCGGUGGCGAAGGCGGUCUGCUGGGCCAAGACUGACGCUGAGGCGCGACAGCGUGGGGAGCAAACAGG
rnacentral:rRNA from 1 species